rnacentral:rRNA from 1 species
ACAAGCGGUGGAGCAUGUGGUUUAAUUCGAAGUCCAACGACGAAGAACCUUACCAGGUCUUGACAUCCCGAUGCUAUUUCUAGAGAUAGAAAGUUACUUCGGUACAUCGGUGACAGGUGGUGCAUGGUUGUCGUCAGCUCGUGUCGUGAGAUGUUGGGUUAAGUCCCGCAACGAGCGCAACCCCUAUUGUUAGUUGCCAUCAUUCAGUUGGGCACUCUAGCGAGACUGCCGGUAAUAAACCGGAGGAAGGUGGGGAUGACGUCAAAUCAUCAUGCCCCUUAUGUUCUGGGCUACACACGUGCUACAAUGGCCGGUACAGACGGACGCAAAGCCGCGAGGUGGAGCAAAUCCUAAAAAGCCGGUCUCAGUUCGGAUUGAAGUCUGCAACUCGACUUCAUGAAGGCGGAAUCGCUAGUAACCGCGAAUCAGCAGGUCGCGGUGAAUACGUUCCCGGGCCUU